CUGCCUAACUCAGAAACUUAUCAGGGUUCUCCCCAAUCUCCCUCAUUCUUCCAUUUCAUCCAACACCCAGGAGAUCCAAAACCUCUGAACGAAGGAAACCUAGAGGCAUUCACUUCUGCCGCCUGGACGUUGCCGCCACUGACGAAACCGACGAUCACGAGCCGCGAGCCAAGGCUGCUCUGUUGACGCUUCUCGCCGGCGGAGUCGUCGUCGGCCACCAGGUUUUCUCCUCCCCCUUCUCGCGCAAGAGAGAAUCACCGUGCUCCUUCACGAUUCGUCUUCGCCGCUUCAACGAGGUCGGUCGCAGCCGCCGCCGAGGGAGCCGCGUCGUGUACGACAAUUCAGCCUCUACUUUCCCUCUCUUAACCCCAGGUGACCCCUGCUCCUACUACGACCAACAAAGAGGUUGCCGCCACUCUCCCCUCUGAACUCUCACAGCCCUAUGGUAAAUCCCCUUCCUCUUGGUGUCGAUCUAAUUCCAGAUGAAAAGAGGUUGAAGAAAGGUUUCUGAGCUUUCUAAUGAUAGUGUUGAGAGUUCUAUAUGAUGGGAGGAAGAUGGUUGGUUCGUGGCUGCGCCAUGGUGGUGUAAAGGAAACAGAUUUGCAAUGGCCGAGAGAAACGGGAUGGAAUUGGUGGAGAUGGUACCGUAAACAACUCAGGGAAAUUAGCUUCCCUUUCUUCUUUGCAGCUGAGAAGAAUCAAGGUUUUGGGGAGAACUGGUUUAGCCAUUUCGGCUUUGGUAAUAGGGACGGGAAAAUGAAGAGAAUGAAGGUUGUUCUGUGCGUUGUAAUGUAUGAAGGUGAGUGUGGGUUGUUUGGCUAUGUGAGAGUUGUUAUGGAGGUUGCUUUUUCUUGCAGAGAAAAGGAAUUGGGGUUUAUGCGUGAGGGGUUUUCAUGGUAUAAACGAAGAUUGAGGGAGGAUAAUGGGGGUUUUGUAUCUGUUUGCAGGUUUGUGGAAAGCCAUGUUUUCUAGGUGUAAGCAAAUGAUAUUGAAAUCCGAUGCUUGGGGAAUAUACAUCUAUGUUCUAUUGUUAUUUAUCUGUUGAAUCUCACAGAUAUUGAAAACCUGUUUAGAAGGCAUUUUGACUCACAAAGGUUUCCACACAGAACAAGCAUGACUAUGAACAUCAGUCAGACCUCAAUCAUUCAUAUUCAGAAAACAACAUUCAUUCACCCAACAUCUUUCAUUCGUAUCUAGCCAUAAAACAGAGGAGCAUACAUCCACAUAAGACAGGAUCAAGAGUUUAUACCAGGAAACUUCAAAAGAACACUUCUUUUGGUUCUAGACUUCUCUAGCACUGCGAGUGGUCUUUCUCUUUUUUGUCCCACGUACUUGCAGGCAUAUGAAGGAUGAAGGAAAAAUGGUUUAUGGAUGACCGUGAGGUUUUCUCUUUAUCAAACGGUGAUGAUCAGUGAUAGUGGUGGUUCUUCUCUGAUGGUAAGGUCGAUAUUGAAGUGUUUGAAUCUGAAUAAUCGUUCCCAGCGUUCUCUCGUGGUGCCCUUGUGCUCUCUUUUUUGAUGUUGAAUGAAUUGGUCAAAGCAGAUCAGAGAUCCUUUACCCAUUUGAUGUAUGAUCAUAGUUCUGCAUAAUGCAUUUUGAGCAAGGGAACCGAAGACCUUUUUCACAUUGAUGCUGCAAGGGAUUUUUUAAGCAUUGGCUGUAGCGUUGUAGGGGUGGUGUUGAAAGGCAAAAAAUGCCUCAGGAAAGCUUAGUUUGUGUUUGCAUAGGCUGCGGACGAGAGAAAGCAAAGUCUGCUUUUUUUUUCUAAAUUAAUAGCAAUAUAUUUUCCUCUUU